rnacentral:rRNA from 1 species
UACGAAGGGAGCUAGCGUUGUUCGGAAUCACUGGGCGUAAAGCGCACGUAGGCGGAUUUGUAAGUCAGGGGUGAAAUCCCCGGGCUCAACCCGGGAACUGCGUCCGAUACUGGAAGGCUUGAAUCCGGGAGAGGGAUGUGGAAUUCCAGGUGUAGCGGUGAAAUGCGUAGAUAUCUGGAGGAACACCGGUGGCGAAGGCGGCAUCCUGGACCAAUAUUGACGCUGAGGAGCGAAAGCUAGGGGAGCAAACGGG